rnacentral:piRNA from 1 species
GUGGAGUUAAACACUUUGGGCGAAGCAGUC